GGUUGGACAAUUCUAUAACCUUUUUAAUUUUCAAUCAGCGUCUGAAAAACUUAAUAAUUACAACUUUCAACAACGGAUCUCUUGGUUCUGGCAUCGAUGAAGAACGCAGCGAAAUGCGAUAAGUAGUGUGAAUUGCAGAAUUCAGUGAAUCAUCGAAUCUUUGAACGCACAUUGCGCCCCUUGGUAUUCCAUGGGGCAUGCCUGUUCGAGCGUCAUUUGUACCUUCAAGCUUUGCUUGGUGUUGGGUGUUUGUCUUCUCCCUAGUGUUUGGACUCGCCUUAAAACAAUUGGCAGCCAGUGUUUUGGUAUUGAAGCGCAGCACAAGUCGCGAUUCUAACCCAAUAACACUUGCGUCCAGAAGUCUUUUUUCACUUUUGACCUCGGAUCAGGUAGGGAUACCCGCCUGAACUUAAGCA
rnacentral:rRNA from 1 species